rnacentral:rRNA from 1 species
GUGUCCUGCGCCUUUGGCUAUGCAUAUCCGGGGUGGCUGUCCGUUGUCCUCUUAACACGGGGCUUCGGGUGGUCAUCGUUAUCACUCUGAUAAAACUAGAGUGCUUAGAGCAGGCGUAAGCUUGAAUAAUAAUGCAUGGAAUGAUGGAAGAGGUUGUUGUUCCGUUUGUGGUUUUAGGUUGACGACAUAAUGACCAAGAGGAACAGACGGGGGCAUUUGUAUUGCAACGAUAGAGGUGAAAUUCUUGGACCGUUGCAAGACAAACUAAAGCGAAAGCAUUUGCCAAGAAUGUUUUCAUUGAUCAAGAACGAAAGUUAGAGUUUCGAAGGCGAUCAGAUACCGCCCUAGUUCUAACUAUAAACGAUGCCAACUAGCAAUCCGUCUGAGUUGUUUUUCGAUUCGACGGGCAGCUCCGGGAAACCUUAAGUCGGGUUCCGGGGGAAGUAUGGUUGCAAAGCUGAAACUUAAAGGAAUUGACGGAAGGGCACACAAGGAGUGGAGCCUGCGGCUUAAUUUGACUCAACACGGGGAAACUCACCCAGCCCGGACACUGAAAGGAUUGACAGAUUAAGAGCUCUUUCUUGAUUUGGUGGUUGGUGGUGCAUGGCCGUUCUUAGUUGGUGGAGCGAUUUGUCUAGUUAAUUCCGAUAACGAACGAGACUCUAUCCUACUAAAUAGGCAACAUGUUUUUACACACAUAUUGCUUCUUCUUAGAGGGACAAUGUG